UACAGAGGGUGCAAACGUUGUUCGGAAUUACUGGGCGUAAAGCGCGUGUAGGCUGCUUCGCAAGUCGGAUGUGAAAGCCCUGGGCUCAACCCAGGAAGUGCAUUCGAAACUGCAGAGCUGGAGUCCUGGAGAGGAAGGCGGAAUUCUCGGUGUAGAGGUGAAAUUCGUAGAUAUCGAGAGGAACACCGGUGGCGAAGGCGGUCUUCUGGACAGUGACUGACGCUGAGACGCGAAAGCGUGGGGAGCAAACAGG
rnacentral:rRNA from 1 species